rnacentral:lncRNA from 1 species
ACUUCUUUAAUGAAACCGGCAGGAGCUUGUCAAUCUCGGCUUCAAUGAUGGAGACUUGCUCGGGAGGGAAGUUGCGUCUCUUUUAUACUAUCUACAAGCUGGGUUGAUGUGAACACAAUGGCAGAUAAUCUGCAGAUCAAUGCUUAACAUAUCAGAUAGUGACCAUGCGAACACGUCAUUGUUGUUCUUGAGGAAGGUAAUCAAUUCCACCUUAUCUUCUAGGCUUAGGCACAAGCCGUUCUGCGCUACUAGCUCAACGUCCUAUUCGGGUUUUCAUCCUUCUUCAGGGGAGGCCUCCGGACAGAUUCCGUCAUCUUGGUCCUCACUAUUUGAUUGCUAUUAGGGAGUAGCUAUUCCCUUUCCUUUCUGGUCCACUCUAUUGUCAGGAAGAUUUGCUCCUUCUCUGCUAAGGUAAGGUUGAUAUAGAGUAUGGUCUCGUGUUGGCCCC